UACGUAGGGUGCAAGCGUUUGUCCGGAAUUAUUGGGCGUAAAGAGCUUGUAGGCGGUUUGUCGCGUCUGCUGUGAAAUUUCGGGGCUCAACCCCGAACUUGCAGUGGGUACGGGCAGACUAGAGUGUGGUAGGGGGAGACUGGAAUUCCUGGUGUAGCGGUGAAAUGCGCAGAUAUCAGGAGGAACACCGAUGGCGAAGACAGGUCUCUGGGCCAUAACUGACGCUGAGAAGCGAAAAGCAUGGGGGAGCGAACAGG
rnacentral:rRNA from 1 species